CAAAAGAUAGUUUAUUAAAAAUGCCAGUUUUGGGGGCUGGUGAUGUAGGUGUAACCUUCUCUUUUGA
rnacentral:tRNA from 1 species